GUUGCCAGCCCAGGGAGGGGCCUUAAAGCUCUGGCACAGGAGCUGGUGCUGAAGGUGGUGCCUGCCUGAGGCUCCCGCACUGGAGCUGGAGUGGUGGCCGAUGCUCGAGCUGCCGCGUUCUGGCUGUGGAACUGGCUCAGUAGCGGGGGCCUGAGCCAGGGCUGGAGCUGCCUCUAUCCCAGGCAGUGGUGCUGGAGCUAGAUCUAGAACUGGCUCUUAUUCUGGAGCUGAUUCUAACUCUAGCCUGGUGCCAGAAGGGGGGCAAGAACCGACACUGAAGAUGGCUUUAGCUCUGGAGCUGGCCCGAGUGUUGGAGCUGGAGGUGGCUCUAGCUCUGUGGCUGGCACAAGACCUUAUGCUAGAGCAGGCUCUAGCUUUGUAGCCUCCACUGCUGGCUGUGGCCAAGACUUCUUUGUGUCGCAGGAUUCUUUAGAGCACCCCCUCGAAGGGCUGUUGGGAGGAUUACACUGAUUCAUUCAUGGUUCCAUAAUGAAGUUGACCUUGAUUCUUUAAGGCAAGCAAAGAAGAGCUCUCUGCAGUUUGUCUGUCUUCACGUGACCUGGAGGCCCAGGGUUAGAGUUCACUGCAGGACCUGGGCUAUGUGUCCCCACAGGAGGACUGGCCAAUAUCUCUCUUCUGGUCAGUGGUUGAGCUGGGCCAGGAGCUCCGGCCUGGCCCAUAGUGACCAUGAUGACCCAGGUGUUGGGGACAUGCUGGUAAAGCAAUCUCCUAAGGUGCUGGUAAAAUCCAGCUGGGUGCCUCAGGCACAGAGCAGUAAGUGCUAGCCCUGGUAGCAACUGGGUUUAGCCAGAGAUCUUUCCAGAGUGAUACAUAAAAGGCUCCCUCCUUUCACU
rnacentral:lncRNA from 10 species